rnacentral:rRNA from 1 species
GGAUCUAGCGGCGGACGGGUGAGUAACACGUGGGCAACCUACCUACAAGAUUGGGAUAACUCCGGGAAACCGGGGCUAAUACCGAAUGAUAUUUCUCUUCGCAUGAAGAGGAAAUGAAAGGCGGCGUAAGCUGUCACUUGUAGAUGGGCCCGCGGCGCAUUAGCUAGUUGGUGGGGUAAUGGCUCACCAAGGCGACGAUGCGUAGCCGACCUGAGAGGGUGAUCGGCCACACUGGGACUGAGACACGGCCCAGACUCCUACGGGAGGCAGCAGUAGGGAAUCUUCCGCAAUGGACGAAAGUCUGACGGAGCAACGCCGCGUGAGCGAUGAAGGUCUUCGGAUCGUAAAGCUCUGUUGUUAGGGAAGAACAAGUACAAGAGUAACUGCUUGUACCUUGACGGUACCUAACCAGAAAGCCACGGCUAACUACGUGCCAGCAGCCGCGGUAAUACGUAGGUGGCAAGCGUUGUCCGGAAUUAUUGGGCGUAAAGCGCGCGCAGGCGGUCCUUUAAGUCUGAUGUGAAAGCCCACGGCUUAACCGUGGAGGGUCAUUGGAAACUGGGGGACUUGAGUACAGAAGAGGAGAGUGGAAUUCCACGUGUAGCGGUGAAAUGCGUAGAGAUGUGGAGGAACACCAGUGGCGAAGGCGACUCUCUGGUCUGUAACUGACGCUGAGGCGCGAAAGCGUGGGUAGCGAACAGGAUUAGAUACCCUGGUAGUCCACGCCGUAAACGAUGAGUGCUAGGUGUUAGGGGGUUUCCGCCCCUUAGUGCUGAAGUUAACGCAUUAAGCACUCCGCCUGGGGAGUACGGCCGCAAGGCUGAAACUCAAAAGAAUUGACGGGGGCCCGCACAAGCGGUGGAGCAUGUGGUUUAAUUCGAA